CCGUUAAUAUUCCGCACCAUGGUCAGUUGUUUUAUCGAUGGAGUGACGCAGGAGGUUAUACCCGCACGGAAAGAAAUUGCCGUGUCGAACGGUGUAGGCAGUGAUCGCAGGCAAAUCCGCGGUUGCUAUCAAGCUGAGGCCGGACAGGCCACCGAAUUAAGUAGGUGGAAGGAGUAGAUACCGCGCUGCCGAGAAAAGCUUCUAAGAGAGACUGAUUGUGACCGUACCGUAAACCGACACAGGUGGGUGAGGAGAAUAUCCUAAGGCGCUCGAAAGAACCCACGUUAAGGAACUCGGCAAAUUAACUCCGUAACUUCGGGAGAAGGAGUGCUCCGGUAGGGUGACUGGAAUACAUAGGAAACUUUGUAUCGAAAGGUAGCCCGAUGGAGUCGCAGAGAAUAGGCUCAGGCGACUGUUUAUCAAAAACACAGGACUCUGCUAAAGCGAAUAGCCGACGUAUAGGGUCUGAUGCCUGCCCAAUGCUGGAAGGUUACGGGGAGGAGUCAGAAGUGGUAACACUUCGAAGCUCUGAACUUAAGCCCCAGUGAAUGGCGGCCGUAACGAUAACGGUCCUAAGGUAGCGAAAUCCCUUGUCAGGUAAGUUCUGACCCGCAUGAAUGGCUUAACGGUCUGAGCACUGUCUCAACGUGGGGUUCGGCGAAACUGUGCACCGGGUGAAGACGCCCGGUAUCCGCAUCAGGACAAAAAGACCCCGUGGAGCUUUACUGUAUCUUGAUAUUGGAUUUUGGCCUGUUAUGUAGAGCAUAGGUGGGAGACUAUGAAGUUAGGGCGCCAGCCUUGGCGGAGUCGACAAUGGAAUACCACCCUUAUCAGUCUGGAAUUCUAACCUUGGCCCAUUGAUCUGGGUUGGGGACAGUGUCAGGUGGGCAGUUUGACUGGGGCGGUCGCCUCCUAAAGAGUAACGGAGGCGUUCAAAGGUUCCCUCAGCGUGAUUGGAAACCACGCGCAGAGUGUAAAGGCAAAAGGGAGCUUGACUGUGAGGCAAACGAGCCGAGCAGGGACGAAAGUCGGACUUAGUGAUCCGGUGGUACCGAAUGGAAGGGCCAUCGCUCAACGGAUAAAAGCUACCCCGGGGAUAACAGGCUUAUCUCUCCCAAGAGUUCAUAUCGACGGGGAGGUUUGGCACCUCGAUGUCGGCUCAUCGCAUCCUGGGGCUGGAGUAGGUCCCAAGGGUUGGGCUGUUCGCCCAUUAAAGCGGUACGUGAGCUGGGUUCAGAACGUCGUGAGACAGUUCGGUCUCUAUCCGAUGCGGACGUAGGAUGAUUGCGGGGCUCUGCUCUUAGUACGAGAGGACCGGAGUGGACAAACCGAUGGUGAACCAGUUGUCUUGUCAGAGGCACCGCUGGGUAGCUAAGUUUGGAUGGGAUAACCGCUGAAGGCAUCUAAGUGGGAAACCCACCUCAAGAUUAAUCAUCCCAAUCGAUCGAAAGACGAUGUAAGGGACCAUGUAGACUACGUGGUGAUAGGCCAGAGGUGUAAGCGUCGCGAGGCGUUAAGCUGACUGGUACUAAUAUCCCGAGGAUUUACUC
rnacentral:rRNA from 1 species